rnacentral:rRNA from 1 species
CCCUUAGAUGUUCUGGGCCGCACGCGCGCUACACUGACGAUGGCAACGAGUUUUUCCUUCGCCGAAAGGUGUGGGUAAUCUUUUGAAACAUCGUCGUGCUGGGGAUAGAUCAUUGCAAUUUUUGAUCUUGAACGAGGAAUUCCUAGUAAGCGCGAGUCAUCAGCUCGCGUUGAUUACGUCCCUGCCCUUUGUACACACCGCCCGUCGCUACUACCGAUUGAAUGGUUUAGUGAGGACUCCUGAUUGGCGCCGCCGCCCCGGCAACGGAGCAGCGUACUGCCGAAAAGUUGUUCAAACUUGAUCAUUUAGAGGAAGUAAAAGUCGUAACA